rnacentral:lncRNA from 1 species
ACCAGAGGUAUCCGCUAACAGAUUUUAUGAAAAGAUAGCUGUGGAUGCCCUUCAUACUUGUUCACAGUCUUUCUUCCAUUCUGCUAUGAUUACUGAAGGUUUGGCAACUCUUUUGGAACAUGAGGCUAAGGGAGUGAUUAUGGGGUGGUGAACUAGGAGAAGUACGAGUGGCAGAUCCACUGUCAGCCUUGGACUGCUGAAUAAUUUCUGUUUUAUUCAGCCAUACUUAUUUACAGUGGAACCCACUCUUGACUCACUACACAUGAAUCUAUGCAGCAGUCUGGCUGGGCACAAAUCACGAGCCACCGAAGCAGGAACAAACUUUAUUUCUGAACUCCACCAGCACACUCCACACACGCUCCCCGGGAACUCUCCCGAACGCCACGAGGCUCGACCAGGAACCAGCAGCCGGAAAUAUCCCUCCUCCGGCACUUCCCCAACCAAUGGGAACUCUCCAGGAAUCCCCGCGAGAGCUCAACUGGAACUCAACGGGAACUCCGCGAGAACUAGCUGGCGUCACCUCUCAACCACUACUUCUGGCAAAAAUGCCAUGCGUCAUCCCGACUCGGCUGUGGCCCUCAACAAAUCUAAACCAUUUCCUUAUGUGUUACUUACUGACUCAACUGGGAGCUCCUCAAGGGCAGGGGUUUCAUUUCUAAGUCUUUGUGUCCUCGUGAACACCCAGAAGCUUCAUGGUUAAUAAACGUUCGUGAAGUAAAGCUCGAGACAGUUUAUGCAAGCCAAAGGCAAACUGAAAACCUGUCCAUGUUCAAAGCGGACAGUCUUGAAGAACCAGGAAGCGAGCAGGUGCAGAGGCAUUACUGCAGGAGACGAUGCGGACGAUGGGACGGUAACUCACUUCCCUCAGUGCUCGGAGCCUCUCUCUGAGACUCCACUGGGUUCAAUGAAUCAUCCACGAAGCAAAUGGUCAAGAGAACUUCUGGAGAAGGACGGAGGAAGAAAAGACGCUCGUUGGCGGUGCAUGACACCUGCCCUUGUCGUUGACUUGAACGGGCUUACACCUAAGUGAAAGUCGCAGACUCGUCCCCAGUGGAGACCUACCCAGGUCUGAGGCCAGCAACUCCAGCAACCGUCCUGUCCCA